rnacentral:rRNA from 1 species
GACGAACGCUGGCGGCGUGCCUAAUACAUGCAAGUCGAACGAGAGCGACCGGUGCUUGCACUGGUCAAUCUAGUGGCGAACGGGUGAGUAACACGUGGGUAACCUGCCCAUCAGAGGGGGAUAACAUCCGGAAACGGAUGCUAAAACCGCAUAGGUCUUCGAACCGCAUGGUUUGAAGAGGAAAAGAGGCGCAAGCUUCUGCUGAUGGAUGGACCCGCGGUGCAUUAGCUAGUUGGUGAGGUAACGGCUCACCAAGGCCGUGAUGCAUAGCCGACCUGAGGGGGUGAUCGGCCACAUUGGGACUGAGACACGGCCCACACUCCUACGGGAGGCAGCAGUAGGGAAUCUUCCGCAAUGGACGCAAGUCUGACGGAGCAACGCCGCGUGAGUGAAGAAGGUUUUCGGAUCGUAAAACUCUGUUGUUAGUGAAGAACAAGUGCUAGAGUAACUGUUAGCGCCUUGACGGUAUCUAACCAGAAAGCCACGGCUAACUACGUG